UGGCGAAUAUUGCACAAUGGGCGCAAGCCUGAUGCAGCCAUGCCGCGUGUAUGAAGAAGGCCUUCGGGUUGUAAAGUACUUUCAGCGAGGAGGAAGGCGGUAAGGUUAAUAACCUUAUCGAUUGACGUUACUCGCAGAAGAAGCACCGGCUAACUCCGUGCCAGCAGCCGCGGUAAUACGGAGGGUGCAAGCGUUAAUCGGAAUUACUGGGCGUAAAGCGCACGCAGGCGGUCUGUCAAGUCGGAUGUGAAAUCCCCGGGCUCAACCUGGGAACUGCAUUCGAAACUGGCAGGCUAGAGUCUUGUAGAGGGGGGUAGAAUUCCAGGUGUAGCGGUGAAAUGCGUAGAGAUCUGGAGGAAUACCGGUGGCGAAGGCGGCCCCCUGGACAAAGACUGACGCUCAGGUGCGAAAGCGUGGGGAGCAAACA
rnacentral:rRNA from 1 species